GGAAGGAUCAUUACCGAAUUGUCAAACAUGGGUUGUUGCUGGCCCCCGAACGGGGCAUGUGCACGCUCUGUUUACACAUCCACUCACACCUGUGCACCCUCUGUAGUUCUGUGGACCGGGAGACGUCGUCUUCCUUCCGUAGCUCUACGUCUUUACACACACACCGUAGCGAUGUCUCAUGGAAUGUUUUUUCGCGUUUAACGCAAUACAAUACAACUUUCAGCAACGGAUCUCUUGGCUCUCGCAUCGAUGAAGAACGCAGCCAAGGGGUUGGAUGUCCGUACGAGAACCAGCGCAACGAUCAUUACUAGAGCAAAGGAUAGACAGCGCCCGCGGAGCUCGCUCCCGGGGCUACCCUACUCCGGUAGGGUUUAGAGUCGUUGAGCCUCUCAGAGAAGCUCGGUCCUGAACUCCACCCUUGAAUAAACUACCUUUGUUGCUUUGGCGGGCCGCCUCGUGCCAGCGGCUUCGGCUGUUGAGUGCCCGCCAGAGGACCACAACUCUUGUUUUUAGUGACGUCUGAGUACUAUAUAAUAGUUAAAACUUUCAACAACGGAUCUCUUUGGUUCUGGCAUCGAUGAAGAACGCAGCAA
rnacentral:rRNA from 1 species